AUUGAACGCUGGCGGCAUGCCUUACACAUGCAAGUCGAACGGCAGCACGGGUGCUUGCACCUGGUGGCGAGUGGCGAACGGGUGAGUAAUACAUCGGAACAUGUCCUGUAGUGGGGGAUAGCCCGGCGAAAGCCGGAUUAAUACCGCAUACGAUCUACGGAUGAAAGCGGGGGACCUUCGGGCCUCGCGCUAUAGGGUUGGCCGAUAGCUGAUUAGCUAGUUGGUGGGGUAAAGGCCUACCAAGGCGACGAUCAGUAGCUGGUCUGAGAGGACGACCAGCAACACUGGGAAUGAGACACGGCCCAGACUCCUACGGGAGGCAGCAGUGGGGAAUUUUGGACAAUGGGCGAAAGCCUGAUCCAGCAAUGCCGCGUGUGUGAAGAAGGCCUUCGGGUUGUAAAGCACUUUUGUCCGGAAAGAAAUCCUUGGCUCUAAUACAGUCGGGGGAUGACGGUACCGGAAGAAUAAGCACCGGCUAACUACGUG
rnacentral:rRNA from 1 species